UAGACAUAGUUUAACAAAAACAUUGGGUUGUGGUCCCAAAAAUAAAGAUCAUAGUCUUUUGUCAACC
rnacentral:tRNA from 1 species